UCAGUGAAAUUGAACUCGCUGUGAAGAUGCAGUGUACCCGCGGCAAGACGGAAAGACCCCGUGAACCUUUACUAUAGCUUGACACUGAACAUUGAGCCUUGAUGUGUAGGAUAGGUGGGAGGCUUUGAAGUGUGGACGCCAGUCUGCAUGGAGCCGACCUUGAAAUACCACCCUUUAAUGUUUGAUGUUCUAACGUUGGCCCCUAAUCGGGGUUGCGGACAGUGUCUGGUGGGUAGUUUGACUGGGGCGGUCUCCUCCUAAAGAGUAACGGAGGAGCACGAAGGUUGGCUAAUCCUGGUCGGACAUCAGGAGGUUAGUGCAAUGGCAUAAGCCAGCUUGACUGCGAGCGUGACGGCGCGAGCAGGUGCGAAAGCAGGUCAUAGUGAUCCGGUGGUUCUGAAUGGAAGGGCCAUCGCUCAACGGAUAAAAGGUACUCCGGGGAUAACAGGCUGAUACCGCCCAAGAGUUCAUAUCGACGGCGGUGUUUGGCACCUCGAUGUCGGCUCAUCACAUCCUGGGGCUGAAGUAGGUCCCAAGGGUAUGGCUGUUCGCCAUUUAAAGUGGUACGCGAGCUGGGUUUAGAACGUCGUGAGACAGUUCGGUCCCUAUCUGCCGUGGGCGCUGGAGAACUGAGGGGGGCUGCUCCUAGUACGAGAGGACCGGAGUGGACGCAUCACUGGUGUUCGGGUUGUCAUGCCAAUGGCACUGCCCGGUAGCUAAAUGCGGAAGAGAUAAGUGCUGAAAGCAUCUAAGCACGAAACUUGC
rnacentral:rRNA from 1 species